GAUCAUCCAUGCAAAGGUUUACUAAUCUGCCCAAACAAAUAUUGCUUUUUAUUGCAUGCAUGCAACAUAUAUAUAGAGUACAGAAAUUUGCUGACCACUUUAAUUAAUACUUAAACUGUAAGCAUCAUAUCCUAAUUUGCUAUUAAAGGAAACGACACCACACUUAAUAUGCAGCCUUUCUUUGCUGCAUUUCUUUUGCCUUCACGAUAUAUCAACUUCCCACCAUAAUUUGAUUACAUUAUUUUUUAGUAGUGUAGGCAAGAAUAAUGAAAUUUUUAGAUUUCAAAUGGUGAUUAGAAUGCGCAAUCAAGGGGCGUAGCCACCGCCGUGUCCACCACCUUCACUACCUCCAGCACCUCCUCCAUAUCCACCAGCAUGCUCAUCACCUCCAACGUAGGCUCCACCUCCGCCGGCACCACUACCGCCACCACCGCCUCCGUAUGCUCCUCCAUGUGCUCCUCCUGCACCGCCACCGGCUCCUCCUCCACUACCGUAUCCACCACCUGCUGCUCCCCCUGCUCCUCCUGCAUAAGCACCACCGCCACCACCUCCAAGGGAUNNNNNNNNNNNNNNNNNNNNNNNNNNNNNNNNNNNNNNNNNNNNNNNNNNNNNNNNNNNNNNNNNNNNNNNNNNNNNNNNNNNNNNNNNNNNNNNNNNNNNNNNNNNNNNNNNNNNNNNNNNNNNNNNNNNNNNNNNNNNNNNNNNNNNNNNNNNNNNNNNNNNNNNNNNNNNNNNNNNNNNNNNNNNNNNNNNNNNNNNNNNNNNNNNNNNNNNNNNNNNNNNNNNNNNNNNNNNNNNNNNNNNNNNNNNNNNNNNNNNNNNNNNNNNNNNNNNNNNNNNNNNNNNNNNNNNNNNNNNNNNNNNNNNNNNNNNNNNNNNNNNNNNNNNNNNNNNNNNNNNNNNNNNNNNNNNNNNNNNNNNNNNNNNNNNNNNNNNNNNNNNNNNNNNNNNNNNNNNNNNNNNNNNNNNNNNNNNNNNNNNNNNNNNNNNNNNNNNNNNNNNNNNNNNNNNNNNNNNNNNNNNNNNNNNNNNNNNNNNNNNNNNNNNNNNNNNNNNNNNNNNNNNNNNNNNNNNNNNNNNNNNNNNNNNNNNNNNNNACAACACCUACAUGAUCAUAAGUGAGGAGGGUUCUAGCAGCUGAACAUAUUCCUAUGCCCAGUAACAAAAAGAAAACAAUGUUAGUGACUUUAAGCUUCGCCAUUGCAAUGUAGUUGAAUGCCACAAAAUCGACUUGGAAUAGAAUGCAAGAACCGGAGGCUAUUUAUAGAUGUAGAAAAGCGUCUAUAUGCACAAAUCACAUGCAAAUGAACAAAAGGCAACUCCUUUUGUCCCUACAAUUUAAGUGAUCCACUGCACUAACAUCCUCACAGAUUUGACAUCAUUUCUUUUUAAUUCAAUCUCUACUCCAAGUAGACCAGCUAGUGUGCUUGUGCUGUCUCCCAUAUUCGUUAAGUAUACAGUAUAAAAAUAUUUCUUAAUACCAUACUUUUCUUAAUUCUUUAUUUUUGAUAUAUCUUGUAGUUGGAAGUCCGACUCAGUUUCAGUAAAUUCCUCCCAAACUAAUUAUAUAUUUUAGUUUCACUUAAUCAAUACGGUUCUUUAUGUUUAAUAUUUUGUGUCACAUUCUCUAAUUUUGAAUUGGAAAAAUGUGAUGCGAUAUUGAAUUAGGCCGAUUAAGAUUAGAGUUCUUAUUCAACCGGGGCUUGCUAAUUUUUGAGCUUUUAUGAGUUUAACUUAUAUGCCGUUGCGGUAAAAGUAUAUUUCCUAAGAUUUACGCAAAACAAUUGAUGCGUGAUACAUUAUUUGUUUAAUCAUUCGAUACUCAAAGCCAACUGGUCCGGCUAAUUCAGAUUUGCGACGGUAGAUCCACUAUGGGGUGUUUGAGCUCGAGACCUUUGGUUAUGCAAUAACGAUAUCUCCAGUGUUCACCAAAUAGUGGACAAACUUUUAGAAAAUGAUUUGGAACAUCUUGAGCACAUAUUGGAAGAAGUUGAUAUAAAUGAAGUAAGAAUUAUAGAAAACGAGGAAGAAGAAUCAACUGAUGAAGCUCAAACAAGUGAGGAAGAAGAAUUCUCUGACGAAGAACAAUACGUCGAUGAGCUUUAAAAAAUUGGUUUCUUUAAUAACUCUCGUUUAUAACUUGUUUCCUUAUAUGUUUCAAUCUAAACAUGUAUUAUAUUAUGCAGAUCACAGGCAAAGGUCGAGGUAGCAGUGACCCUAGUGGUUCUCGGGGUUGAGAAAAGGCUAGGAAACCAAAGAGAAGGGUAGAAGAUAAUUCUCAUCUUUUCCACCCUCUUCUGAUGCGCCUAUGCCUAUGUCUUUGCCUCCACUCCAGGGCUAUUUUGAGCUGCCACAGCAUCAUACGCCCUACACCUUCGUGCAGAUCCUAGAUCUUUCAUCACAGGGCCAUAGGACUAUACAUCCGAUAUACAGUCCACCUGCCUCGCUACCACGUGGAUCACACCCAUCAGCAUCACAUGGAUCACAUCGAUCCAUAUCACAUCCACAUGGAUCACAUCCAUCAGUGUCACAGUCACUCGGGUAACAACGAUCAGUAUCACAGCCACUUGCGGUCCAUCCACCUAUGUUGCAGUCAUAGGGAUCACAUCUAUCUUCAUUAGGGACUCCAUCUAUUUUAGGCCUUCGCCUGCGAGAUAUUAGCUCUAACCCCCGAACACCUUCCACACAUGCCUCUGAUAUACAUAUUUCGGAUGGUGAUGUUGAUGCUGACGAGGAGGUGCAUUAUGAUCAAUAUGGCAGGAUCAUCAUAUUUCCUGCGAGUGAUGGGUAAGAAUUAUUUGUUAUUUUUAAGUUUAUUAUUUUGUACUUUUUUUACUAAGAUAAUAAUUUAUUUUUUUAUUAAAAUGCAGGUUCAUACCGAGUAAUACUACUACGAGGAUAAUCACCAAACCAAUAAUGGUUGCUCUAUGAUAGCUCUUAUGCGUCUUGGCGUGAAUUCUCAUUCUCGCUGAAGGAGCAAAUUCUCAACGAAUUUAAGGUAUAAAUAUUCUUUUAAGAAGUAUAAUUAUUUUUAUUUAUGAUAUUAUCAAUAUUUAACUUUUAAAAUACAGAGCAAGUAUGUAUGGGAACACCGCUAUAGCGCGAACGUGGCUGGAAAAUUUUAUCUCAAAGCUCGCAAGCGGUAGUAACAUACUUUCUCCAAAGCUAGAAAGUUGAACCAGAAGCCGGACUGGUUGCUUCAGAAUUUAGGAGAGGAUUUGCAAAGGCAAUGGCUUACUGCAGAUUUCUUAGAGAAGAGCGAAAAAGGAAAGAAAGCAUAUGAGAAAGGAGGAUCCUUGCACAUUGGAGGUGCGAUCAACCUAGGGACAAUAAAAAGAAUAAUUGUACGUAAUUGCUUAAUUUAUUUUAAUUUUCAAAGUAUAUCUAUUUGAAUUAUUAACUAAAAUUAUGAGUUUUUAGGAAAAUAAUUUGGGGCAUCCGAUGAGCAAAGAUGAUCUAUUAAAGGAGACUCAUAUUGUGAAGAAGAAAAAGAAGAAGAAAGACAUGGAUCAAGAAAUGUGGGUUGAGGGAGAAGCCUCGACUAUACAUGUAAGUUUUCACUUUUCAUUAAGUAUUUUCAUUUACUUUUCUAUACAUUUUGAAAUACUAAUUCAAUUUACUUUUUCUUAUAGGGUCGCUUCACAGCUGAAGUGGAUGAAUUCAUAUGCAGUAAGCCACCUAAUGAGUCAGGCGAGCCAAUCCAACCUUCGGAUGGGGAUGCUGAAAGAAUGUUGACGGAAGCUACAGGCGGUCCAAAACGGGGAAAGGUAUAUAGGCUUCUUACUAAGAAAUUCCAUCUCUAUAAGUGUGGAAUGCAAGGAAUAGGGAUUUCCUCGCUAACUGAGCAACUUGAUGGUGAGAGCCUCUCUGCUAUACAGGAGACUGUGAUAAAGCUCACAUCCAAGCUAGAAAUCGGCCAAGGAAAGAGAAAAUCUUAGAGAUGCUCAGUACUUUGGCACGCAAGCUCAGUACCAAGGCAUGAAAGAGAAGCUCUAAUCUCUCCUAGCUUCUAGAGCUUUUUCGAUUUUUCGAUCUCGUGAGUCAUCGCCAGAGGUUCGCCUUCGCCAUGCUCAUUCCUCCCGUCCUCCAAGUGCUCAUUCCUCUCAUCCUCCCCGUGAUCGGUCUUCCCGUCUUCGACAAGUAGACCCUUCUGAAUAACGUCAUGGUGAUGAAAGUUCAUCAGACGGUGAUGAUAAUGAUGUACACAUCACUCAUUCACUUUUAGACAAUUUGAACUAGACAAAUACGAUUGAGUUUCGAAUGGACUUUUAAUAAGAGUUAACUUAGUUUGAUUAGCUUAAUGUGGUAGUUCUGUUUAACUUUAAACUUUCUUGGUUUUAGUGUCGGUUUUAAAGUUGUUUUUGUGUUGUUGAUGGUAUUGUUGUCGGAAUUGUUGUUGUUGUUGCUUGUAAUAGGGUUUUGAUAUGACUGGCAUGUGGUAUAGCUCCCAAAACAUGCAGCUUCUGCCAAAAUAAUACAUAGAAAAGCUACCAACUUUUGGUCUCUAUUUGGUUGAAUUUUAUUUAAAAAUAUAAUCUGGGAAAUAGCAACCAACGUUGGUUUCUUUUUACCCAGACUUUGAAAAAAGCAACCAACCUUGGUCAUUAUUCCAUUAAAACAAUUCUUGUUAUAUAGCGAGUUUUCCAAAGGGAUAUACCACAUAUACAACACAGUCAAAACGUGCCGCGAACCAUGUCACAUAAAUGCACCCGUAAUUUUGACACAUUUUAACAUCGUUAGGAUUCGGAUUUGGCUCAUAUAAAUGUGCACCCAUGUUUAAGGAGAUAAAAUUAUUUAAGACGUGCCUAAAAGCAACUAGCGCGUUAUUAUCUUUAUGAGAAGCCGUGAAAAUUCGCUAAACGGCUCGUCUAGAACUCUAUGUACUUUAAUAUAAAAAAUUAGCGGGGCCGCGCGAUUUUGGAUUCCGUUUUUCGCGACACCUUGUUCCAUUUAUUAUUUACAGCCCAUCCUAAAGCGAACUAGGAUUUCUCAUGAGACGUGUCCCUGAUAAGACUUAAUUCAUUGUCAUGGACUUCUAGCCCCGCCUUCUAAAUCUGAACAAUAAUUGUACCUAUUGAGUCUUUGGGCUUCCUACUAGCCUAAUAGGGAAGGAUUUCGGUCAAUUCCAACCCCCAGGAAACACUGAACUUCAAUAAAAUCAUGAGGCUAUUGGACCUUAUAAUAGGUGAAUCCAAAACGUGUGUGGUGACAAAGGGAUUUGUUAUAAAAGAGAACAAUUGCUUCCAACAAAUCGCUAUAUAUAUUUAGGAGGAAAACAUGGGUCAAACUACACAAACACUGAAGACGCAUGAGAUAUUAAACUUGAAUUGACCAGACCUAAAUUAACAUACUAAAGCAAUAUUCUAUAGUUUCAGACUUUGAAAUUCCAAAACGAGCCUAUCAUUUACAUGCUGGAUUUACAAAUUCUAUAGGACUAACUCUAAAUGCAUUCACACCAUCAUAUAAGACUUUCUACUGAUAGGCCAUCAAACAAAUUACUCAUUCAAUUGGCAAGGCAGUUCAAACCUAGGUAUAUGAGUCCUAUUAGAACCAAAAUCAUAGCAGCACAAAUGAAAAUAUAUACAGUCCAAUUUUAACAGUCCAAUUAUGCAAUUCAUACAUAGCACUACUACUUAGUUCAAAUUACAAGAUUGGAAAAUAAAAUUAAACAUAGACAUUGAUAAGAAAAACUGGUUGCUCAUAUAGUAAAUCAGGUACAGCAAUAGUUCUGAUUCCUCAUACAUUUGAAGCUGGGGCAUACCUGGAAUUACCAAGGAAACAGGAAGGAGAUGCCAGAAACCAGCAAAGUUAAUCAGCAUAUUAAUGGAAAAAUCAACAACUCGAUUUCCACAUGAACCCAGACACAAAAUCAAAUGAACUCGGAGGAUUUAACACCAUACAACAGAUACAAUCCUACUCGAAAUAAACUGAAUAACAACUAGACCAAGUCAUUUUCCUAUGAUCUCUGAUAGACAGCUGAAUUUAAGAGGGUUUUUGCACAGUAAAUUCAAUGGAAUGGUAUAUUUAGGACUGUUGGAGGUUUUCAAGAGUUAUUUUGAGAGAUUUUGAGUUCCAAAUUUCUAAGAAGUUAUAGAGAUACUUUCAGAUUGUCCAACCCCCCCUCCCCGAAUGAUUUUCAGUCCCUUUUUAUAGCCAAAGGCUAGGGCAGCACUAUUAUUUAGUUUUAACAAAAGGUCUCUCUUCCAAUUAUCAGAUUUUACCUAUUUGGACCCUCAUUUUUUGACUUGUUUCUCGAGUUACUGCAAUAAGACUACUGGUUUUAUAUUAAAGACCCCUUAUAGAAGGCUCUAAACGCUUCUAGCAUUAUUCUCCAUUUAUAAACUACCUAUAAUACCCUUAUUUUAUUCCUAAAAUUAUCAAAGCCACGUUAAAACUCUAUAUUACCGCUAUUUUAUUCUGAAAUUUACUAAUACUAAACUAAAAUUCUAUAUUACCCCUAGAUGAUAAAAAAAGACUGUUUACCAACUUGUAUCUAAUUACUAACACCUAACAUUGCUAAUAGUUAUAUCCAACUCUAAUGUUAUUGAGUUAUUAACCAAGAACAAACGCUAAUCAAUCCUCAGUAAAUAAAUUUAGGUCAAAUACUCAAAAGUUAAAAGAAGAACACAGGAGGCUACCACAAUCAAAACGAAAACUCAGAAAUGAACAUCCAAACCAUGUGAACCAUUAAUCGAAACUCAGAAAUUAGGAAAUCACCAAAAAAUUAUGACCGACCCUAAUUGCAUGUGAACUAUUAACCAUCAUUCCAUCUCAAAAAUAAAGAACACUUCAUAAAUUCGAGACAACAUGCAUAAACUUUAAAACUAAACCUAAAAACAAGCAUGGUAAACAAAAUAGAAAUGGCUAAUUUAAUUCAUAAAUGGACAUGUUCAGGAUUAGAAUAGGAAUAACAGAAUUAUGAACAUAAUCAAAAAUCUAAUAAAAUGCCUUUUUCAAUCAAAACUAAAGAAAAAGAAAUAAUUCCAAACUUAGUUGCAAGAGAAAUACAAAAUAGAAACACAAAUUAAAAAGGGUGAUCUUACCGGUUUAUUUCAAAUGGCCUAUUGAAUGGAAUUGAAUCCCAAAACGGAUUCAUGUGUUUGUUUUCCCCAAAACAAAUAUUCUACUCCAUUGCAGGACUCAAGCGGCUUCGAGAAUCUCAUCUUCAACAUUAGGUCUAAUCCGAGAUUUUGAUUUUGAGGAGUCUGAGAAUUAUUCGAAGGGGACUAGACUUGUUUUUGGCUAGGGGAGACUAAGGGGGAUGGGUGGUGUUAAUUUGGGAGUCGUUGGAGGUCAGCCACCACCGUGCAUGGCGAGGCUGCCUUAUUCGAAAGAAAAUUUGAGGAGCUGGGGUCAUGUUUGAGAGUGACUGAUGGUAGGGUUAGGAAGAGGGGAGUGAGGGGGUCCCAUGAUGUUAAUUUGGGUGUCAUUGGUCACCAGCCGCCGCCAUGGACGGCGGAGCUGCCGUGCUUUAAACAAAUAUUCGACGGGCUGGGGAGGGUUUCGAAGGGUGAUCUUAGGGGGGUUGGGAAGAAGAGACAAUGGGGAUUCUGGGGUGCGAAUUUGGAGACUAUUGGAGUUAUGCCACCGCCGGUGGUGGUUUGACAGUGGCAUUACACUGGCAAGGGAUGGUACGAGGAGGAUGAAUUUUUGGUCUCCCAGUUAUUACAGGGGUUUGGAUAGUUUAUUUAGAAUUUAAGGCUCAAUCUGAGCCGUUAUAUUGAGGGGUAUGGACGGUUGAGAUGGACGGACGAAAAAGCGGCGUCGUUUUGAUGAGGGUGGGAUUGGACCGGGUCUGGGAAAGGUUUUGGGUUGGUUUCACUUGGAAAAAUGGUCUAAGUUGGCCUUUUUAGAACAAGGCCACAUUUCCAAACCCCUUUUGUUCUUAUUUGUUUUAAUUCCUACAUUAACUUACUUUAUUAACACCAAAUUAACAAAAACCUGAUUUAAAUCAAAAUUUGCUAAAAAUGCUUUUUUUUUUGUAUUUUUUGUGAAUUAAAAUGCACUUAACAUGAAUAUAAACAUACAAUUUAUGUAAUUAAAUUCUAAAUAUUCAAAUAAUAAAAGAAAGACGUAAAUAAACACGAAAUCACAUUGGGCUAAUUAAAUAAAAAUGCUAUUUUUUGAAUUUUUGCGAAUUAAAAUACACUCAACAUGCAAAUAAACAUACAACUUAUGCAAUUAAAUUCUAAAUAUUCAAAUAAUAAAAGAAAGACGCAAAUAAAUACGAAAUCACACAAUUAAUGAGGAAAAUGCAAAUAAACACGAAAUUACGCAGUUGACCCCUAAAAAUUCAAAUAAUAAAAGAAAAAUGUAAAUACGAGCAAUUAAUUUCUAAUAAUAAAAAAAUGCAAAUAAACACAAAAUCACAUAAUUAAUUCCUAAAAAAUUCAAAUAAUAAAAGAAAAGAUGCAAAUAAACACAAAAUCACAUAAUUAAUUCCUAAAAAUUCAGAUAAUAAAAGAAAAUCAUAGUUUACAAAUUUAUAGGAACAUUUCAAGUGAGGCAAAAAUCACGUGUUCACAAUUAGUAUUUCAAAAUGUAUAUAAAAGUAAAUAGAAAUACUUAAUGAAAAGUGAAAACUUACAUGUAUAGUCGAGGCUCAUCCCUCGACCCACCUUUCUUGAUCCGUGUCUUUCUUCUUCUUCAUCUUCACAAUAUGAGUCUCCUUGAAUAGCUCAUCUUGGUUCAUCGGAUGCCCCCAACUUCUUUUCCUGAAAACUCAUAAAUUUUAGUUAAUAAUUAGAAUAAAUAUAGUUUGAAAAUUAAAACAAAUUAAGCAAUUACGUACAAUUCUUCUUUUUAUUGUCCCUAUUCUUAUCGCACCUCCAGUAUGCAAGGAUCCUCCCUUCUCAGAUGCUUUCUUUCCUUUUUCGAUCUUCUCUAAGAACUCUGCAGUAAGUCAUUGCCUUUGCAAAUCCUCUCAUAUAUUCUGAAGCAACCAGUCAGGCUUCUGGUUCAACUUUCUAGCUUUGGAGAAAGUCUGUGACAACCGCUUGCGAGCUUUGAGAUGAAAAUUUGCAGCCACGUCCGCGCUAUAGCGGUGUUCCCAUGCAUACUUGCUCGGUAUUUCAAAAGUUGAAUAUUGAUAAUAUCAUAAACAUAAAUAAUUAUACUGCUUAAAAGAACAUUUAUACCUUAAAAAUUUGCUCCUUCAGCGAGAAUGUGAAUUCACGCCAAGAUGCAUAAGGGCCAUUAUAAAGCUUUCCAGUUGCUGGUGAUUAUCCUCGUAGUAGUAUUACUCGGGAUGAACCUGCAAUUUAAUAAAAAUAAAUUAAUAUCUUAGUAAAAACUGUACAAAAUAAUAAAUAUACAAAUAAUAAAUAACUCUUACUCAUUACUCUCAGAGCUGUGAUGAUCCUGCCACAUUGAUGAUAAUGCAUCUCCUCGUUAGCAUCAGCAUCACUGUCCGAAAUAUGUAUAUCAGAAGCAUGUGUUGAAGGUGUUGGGGGUCAGAUCUAGUAUCUCACAGUCGAAGGCCUGAAAUAGAUGGAGUCCCUGAUGAAGAUAGAUGUGAUCCCUCUGACUGCGACGUAGCUGGAUGGACCGCAAUUCGCUGUGAUACUGAUUGUUGUGACCCGAGUGACUGGGACACUGAUGGCUGUGAUCCAUGUGGAUGUGACAUGGAUCGAUGCGAAGGUGGAUAUGGAGAUGCAGUUGACCAUGGAUAUGCCAGUGGAGGUGGUAGUGGAGGCGGAGCCGGUGGUGGUUCUGGCUAUGCAGCUGGAGGAGAGCAUGGUGUUGGAUAUGCUAGAGGAGGUGGUGGUGGAAGUGGCACUAGAGGUGGCUAUGCUAGUGGAGGGCAGGAUGCUGGGCAUGCAAGUUGUGGUGUGAAGGUGGUGGUAGCGGAUAUGGUGCUGGAGGAGCCUCAGGUGGUGGUUAUGGUGGGGGAGGUGGCGGAGGUAGUGGUGGCGGCGGAGCAGCUGCGGGUAGAGCACAUGGUGGUGGAUAUGCUGAAGGAGGAGGAGGAGGUAGUGGUGGCGGCUAUGGUGCUGGAGGGGCACCAGGCGGUGGAUAUGGUGCUGGAGGUGGGCAUGGAGGUGGUGGCGGUGGUGCGUAUGCAGGAGGAGCAGGGGGAGCAGCAGGUGGUGGAGACGGCAGUGGAGGAGGAGCCGGUGGUGGUGCAGGAGGAGCACAUGGAGGAGCAUAUGGAGUCGGUGGUGGCGGUAGUGGUGCCGGCGGAGGUGGAGCCUACGCUAGAGGAGGUGAGCAUGCUGGUGGAUAUGGAGGAGGUGCUGGUGGUGGUGAAGGUGGUGGACACGGUGGUGGCUACGCCCCUUGAUUGCUUAUUCUAAUCACAUUUGAAAUCUAAAGAUUUCCUUAUUCUUGCCUACACUACUAAAAAAUAAGGUAAUCAAAUUGUGGUGGGAAGAAGAUAUAUCGUGAAGGCAAAAGAAUUGCAGCAAAGAAAUGCUGCACCUUUAGUGUAUUAUCGUUUCCUUUAUUAGAAAAUUAAGGUAUGAUGCUUGCAUUUUAAGUCUUAAUUAAAUUGGUCAGCAAAUUUCUGUACGCUAUAUGUUUGAUGCAUGCAAUAAUUAGCAAUAUUUGUACUUUCAGUGUUAAAUAGGAUGUACGAUUGAACAAGGGAAAUCUUUGCUGCCCUCAGUGUUAAGAAACCAAAAAUGGACAGACCUUGUACUGUCAAUAUAAGAUGGAGCUCACUUAUCAAAAUCUGAAAACUUAAAAAUUCUGCAGCGCUGUACGAUUGGCAAAUUAAUUUAUUUGGCAUAGCUUAUGUAGGGCAGAACUGAUAUAUGAAAAAAGGAAAAAGAAAAAAACAACUCAUCUCCGUCAGGUUGGUUGCACUUGGAGAUGAGACAGUCAUGCGAUAAGAGAAACAAAGUAAUGCCCGAGUGGAAGGCAAAAUAAAAUAUCUUAGUAGUAGCUUGUAUUAACAGUUAAUUUGUACUACAAAUGAAUUAUGUGAAAGUUGCAGUUAAAUGAGACCGAAAAGUAACGAUAAUAUCAUUAUUAUUUGUGAGCGGAAAUAUAUUAACUGGCUUGAGUCGUGCUGGGUACUUUCCUAAGAAACUAUUUCAACAGAGUGAAAUAUUUCUCCAGGAUUAAACAAGUUUACCUCUAUUUUAAACAAAUAUUCUCUACCUCAUCUGAUUCUCUUGAUUUUUCUGCUAAGUUAAUUAUCAACCUCGGUUUUAUAAGAAAAAAAAGCAUUAAAAGCAUCCUCUUUAUUUCUAAGCAAAUGCAACUUAGUAUAUCUAGAAAAAUCAUCAAUAAAAGUCACAUAAUAUCUUUUACUACCUCUAGUCAUUGUCUGCUUUAAAUCGCCCAAAUCAGUAUGAGUUAAAAAUAAUAAUUCAAUUUCUCUAUUUAGAGAAAAAUAAGUCUUUCUAGUACUUUUAGCUUCAGCACAUAUUUCACACUUGUUAAUAUUAUUUGAGUCUAAACCAGAUAUUAAUCCUAGCGAUUGCAUUUUCUUUAUAUAUGUGACAUUAACAUGUCCUAGUCCAUCAUGCCAUAGAGAAUGACUCAAUCAUAUAAGCAGAAGCAGAUACAUUUUCAUUGAUAACAUCAAAGAUAUGAAGUACAAAGAGUCUACAAUAGCCCUUUCCCUCAAAUACAUUAUUUUUGGUCAUUAUGAUUUUAUCAGAUUCAAAUGACACUUUUAUUCCGGCUCUUCCCAACAAGGACAUAGAGAUUAAUUUGCCCUCAUAGUAGGAACAUGCAAUACAUCAGCAAGGGCUAAAGUUUUUCCCGAAGUGAGUUUCAGGAGAACUUUACCCUUACCCAAGACUUUGGUAUUACUUGACUCUCUAAGAUAGACUUCUUCUCUAUCAUCCUCUACGGGAGUAUAAGAGGAAAAUGCUUCUCGAUUUGCACAAAUGUUCCGAGUAGCCCCAGAGUCUAUCACCCAUUCUUUUGCAUGUGUUACAAUAUUUACUUGAGAAAUGACAGCUGCAAUAAUAUCAUCUCCUUUAGCUAAGUUUGCUUUAGGAGUAUUAGUUUUUUCCUUGUCAUUUCUUGCUCUGUACUUGCACUAUGAGGCAUGAUCGCCUGAUUUUUCAUAAACAAAAUAAGAGCCAUUUUUCCUUUUAAGGUUAUGAUUUUAUGCUUGCAACCUUGAGAAUUAUUCUCGUACCUUUAGCAGUUGUUGUUGCUGCUUUGCACUAAAUUUGCUUUGAGAGUUGUCAUCCUAGCUUUUCCAGAUUCUUUUCUGUUGGAAUCUUCAAUUAGGAUGUGGAUCAUAAUUUCCUCAUUUAUGAAAUUUUUCUGUUUGUGCUUUAAGUUAUUUUUGCAGCCACUCCAUGAGUCAGGUAACUUCUCAAUUAGAACUCCAGCAGCAAACUUUUCUUGUAAAGACAUCCCCUCGACCUUCAAAUCUUCUAACUAUUUUUGAAAUUCGUUGAUUUGUAUGUUCAUCUCUUUAUCAUAUCGCAUCUGCCACUAAUAAUAUUUUCUACUAUAAUUUUUUUAUAGCAUCUUCAGCAGUGAAUUCUUUAAUUAAUGCUUCAUAUAUAGCUUUUGCUUCUUUAUAAAUGCAAUACACGUCAAACAGUUCGUUGGAAAUAGUUUGCAAUAUUGUAUGACGGUAUACCUUGUUGGCAUAUUGCCAUGAUUCUAUUAUUUUAUUAUCAGCGUCUACAUUAGGUUGUGGAUGCAGCAGUGCAAGUGCAACACCAUGGAUAUAAAGCAGUGAGAAAAUACGUUCCUGCCAAUGCUUAAAAUUUGCAUUGGCAAAAAUUUCAAUAUUUGACGAAUCUGGAAGUGGCCUGGCUAUGGCAGUGCAACUGGGGUUGGAGCAGCGGAUGUAACACCAAUAUUGGCGGUAUCAAUAGUGUUUUCAGCAUCAAUAUUAUUUGACAUAGUUUCUUAGAUUGUAGUUAAAUGACACCGAAAAAUAAUGAUAAUAAUAAUAUUACAAUAAUAUUAUUUGUGAGGGAAAAGUACACUAACUGGUUUGAGUCGUGCUGGGCACUGUCCUAAGAAACUAUUUUAGCAAAGUGAAAUAUUUCUCCAGGAUUGAACAAGCUUAACUGUAUUUUAUUUAGAGUAUACAGUAAUAAACAAAAUUAAAUAUUAUACAAAUUCAGCUAGUAAGAAAAAAAGGAAGAACAACUAAUGUACAAUGUUAAUUAAAUAUGAUAGAAAGGAAAAUGGAAGGAAGAAGAGAGAGAUAAAAGAAAGAUAUCUGAUGAUAAGAAUGAGUGGCUAAUGAAUACUAUUUAUACAGUCAUAAGUGCAUGUUUCUAUCAUCCUGCAUGAUUGCUACGUGGCUUUCUUCUUUUGCAUUUUUCCAAUGGAAUAUGCCAUUUAUGUUAACCUUUUAGAAGGCCUAAAUGCUUGUCCAAACAGGCUUUAUCUGCAAAAGUUUCGGUUAAUGGAGGAGAAUUACAAGAAAAGUGUCACAUGUAUAUAUAAAAUACAAUCAACAAAGAAAUUGAACGAUUGGACUCCCUCAUAGUGGCAAAUAUGCUUAAUCACACUGCAGUUAGUUGCAAAUUCAAAAGCAUUUAUAGAGGACACUGGCCGCAUAGAUUUUAAUCUCCAAGCAAAAUUUUGAGGUAAAUCACUAAUUUAGAUAAGCAAAUCAAGUGGUGGAUGAUUUAGCUAAACAUGGUUCCUGGCUUCCAGCCUUCAAGAUUCCUCUAUCCUGUUUGAUUAUCAGGAUAUCCCUAUUAUAGAAUCUUAUCAGUUGGAUAAGUAGCAACUUAUAUCACUGUUCUCCAAAUUAAACUGAGACUGUCUAAUCUACUUGAUUAUUGCCUAUUCUUGUAUAUGGGCAUAUUGGUUCGCCCUCUUAAUUAUUGGUAAUUCAUGGUUUUAAUAAAAUAUGUACUAGCUUUCACUGGAAAUAGACAACAAAUUAACUAAAGUUAUAUAUCAAUAAUAUACUUGCAAGCAACUUGCAAAACAUAAAGGGAGGGGGUUAAAGAAAUGUAAAAAGUUUCCGCUCUUUUAAGAAAUUUCUUUUGAAAUAGUCUGAUCAUAUAAAAUAUUUUAAAAUUUACGCUGACAAUGCAAAUAUAUUUUACCCUAUUAGAUCACCUAAAAUAUAAUUAUAGGUGACUAUUUACAUUAGCCCGGUUUGCCAAACUUAUUUUUGGUCAAAAAUAUAUUAUUUUUUUUUGCAAAAAUCAUUUUUGGUAAAGAAUUGAGGUAUUUUACUACUAGAAAUUUGGAAAAAAGCGAUCAUAAAAAGAAACCAAAGUUGGUCAUUUAUUGGCCAAAAAGCGACCAAACAGGCCUGGUAGAUAUUAAGCUGGUCCCUUUAUUUUAGGGACAAAAGUUGGUCGCUAAUUAGCGACCAACUUUGGUCUCUAAGGUAAAAGGACCAAAUAUUCCGGGUAAAGACUAUAGCGACCAACUUUGGUCGCUUUAUUAAUUUAAUAGUAUAAUUUUAGCGACAACGUUAGUCUUUAAAUAUAAGAUAUAUUUUUUAUUUAUUAUUAAUCAUUAAAAAGAGAACAACUUUGGUCUCUAAUCCAAAUAUUAUAUUUUAAAAUUUAGAAAAUAGCGACCAAGGUUGAUCGCUUUUUAAGAAAUUUGGGUAAAAAGCGACCAAUGUUGGCGCUAUUUCCUAGAUUAUUUUUUUAAAUAAAAUGCAACAAAAUAGAGACCAAAAGUUGGUAGCUUUUCUACGUAUUAUGUUGGCAGAAACUGUCUGUUUUGGCAGCUACACCACCUGCCAGUCACACCACAAUCACAUUACAAGCAAAAACAACAAUAAUUACAACAACAAUAAUACAAAAACAAUAUUAAAACCAACAUUAAAACAUCGAAAUAUGCAACAAGUGUUUAGACCUUUUAGAAGGUUAACAUAAGUGAUAUAUUCCUUUGGAAAAAUGGUAAGAGAAGAAAGCCACAUAGAAAUCAUGCACAAUGAUAGAAACAUACACAUAUGGCUAUAUAAAUAGUAUUCAUUAGCCGCUCAUUCUUAUCAUCAGAUAUCUUUUUUUUUAUUUCUCUCUUCUUCCUUCUAAUUCCUUUUCUAUCAUAUCUAAUUAAUAUUACACAUUAGAUGUUCUUCCUUUUUUUUCUUACUAGUUGGAUUUGUAUAAUAUUUAAUUUUGUUAAGUCUUUUAUCCUCUAAAUAAAAUAGAGGUAAGCUUGUUCAAUCCUGGAGAAAUAUUGCACUCUGUUGAAAUAGUUUCUUAGGACACUGCCCAGCAUAUCUCGGCCGGUUAGUGUAUUUCCACUCAUAAAUAUUAUUAUAAUAUUAUUAUUAUUAUCGUUACUUUUCGGUAUCAUUUAACUAGAACUUUUACAUAGUUCAUUUGUGGUACAAAUUAAAUACAAAGCUAGGAUGACAGCUCUCAUAGCAAAUUUAGUGCAAAGCAGCAACACCAACCGCAAAAUGUAUGAGAAUAACUCUCAAGGUUGCAAGCCUAAAACCCUAACCUUAAAAGGAAAAAGGGCUCUUGUUUAGUUUGUGAAAAACCAGGCCAUCAUGCCUCACAAUGCAAGUAAAAAGCUAGAAAUGACAAGGAUAAAACUAAUACUCCUAAAGCUAACUUAGUUGAAGGAGGUAAUAUUAUUGCAGCUGUCAUUUCUCAAGUAAGCAUUGUUGCACAUGCUAAAGAAUGGGUAAUAGACUUUGGGGCUACUCGGCACAUUUGUGCAAAUCGAGAAGCAUUUUCCUCUUAUAUUCCUGUAGAAGAUGAUAGAGAAGAAGUCUAUCUUGGAGACUCAAGUACUACCAAAGUCUUGGGUAAGGAUAAAGAUCUACUGAAAUUCACUUCGGGAAAAACUUGAGCCCUUGUUGAAUUACUGCAUGUUUGUACUUAUCAGGGCAAACUUGAUCUCUGUAUCCUUGUUGGGAAGAGCCGGAGUGAAAGAUUCAUUUGAAUCCGAUAAGAUCAUAAUGACCAAAUAUAAUGUGUUUGAGGGAAAGGGCUAUUGUAACCAAUGACUCUUUGUACUUCAUAUUUUUGAUGUUAUCAAUGGAAAUGUAUAUGCUUCUACUUAUAUGAUCGAGUCUAUUCUCUAUGGCAUGCUAGACUAGUACAUAUUAGUGUCACAUAUAUAAAGAAAAUGCAAUCACGAGGAUUAAUAUCUGAUUUAGACUCAAAUAAUAUUAACAAGUGUAAAAUAUGUGUUGAAGCUAAAAGUACUAGAAAAUCUUAUUUUUCUGUAAAUAGAGAAACCGAUUAUUAUCUUUAAUUCAUAUUGACUUAGGCGAUUUGAAGAUGAAAAUGACUAGAGGUGGUAAAAGAUAUUAUGUGACUUUUAUUAAUGAUUUUUCUAGAUAUAUUAAGUUGUAUUUCCUUAGAAUUAAAGAUGAUGCUUUUAAUGCUUUUAUUUUUUAUAAAAAUGAGGUUGAAAAUCAACUUAGUAGAAAAAUCAAGAGAAUCAGAUCUAAUAGAGGUGGAGAAUAUUUGUUUUUGAAUGAUUUCUAUGAAAAAAAGAAAUAAUUCAUGAAGUAACUCCGCCUUAUUCACUCGAGUCAAAUGGAGUAGCUGAAAGGAAAAAUAGACAUUGAAAGAGAUGAUGAACUCUAUGUUAAUUAGUUCUAAUGCUCUUGAUAAUUUCUCGGAUGAAGCUAUGUUAUCUGCAUGUCACUUACAAAAUAGAGUACCUCAAAAGAACUGGCAAAUCUCCAUAAGAAUUGUGGAAACGUUAUAAACCUAAAUUGAAAUAUUUAAAAGUGUGGGAGUGUCUUUCUAAAGUUCUUUCGCCUGAACCUAAAAAGAGAAAAAUAGGUUCUAAAACUGUUUAUUACAUGCUAAUUGGAUAUGUAGAACAUAGUGUUGCAUAUAUAUUUCUUGUUUUAAAAAGUGAUGUGCUUGAUCGCAAUACUAUAAUUGAGACAAUGAAUGUUGAGUUCUUUGAAUAUAUUGAUCCAUUAUCUAAUAAAAUUUCUCAUACGCCGCUUGAAUAAAAUAAUGAAAUUAUGUCUAAUGAGGAACUGAGAAGGAGCAAAAGGCCUAGAAAAAAAUAUUAUUCUUAUGGAAAAGAUUUUAUACUUUUCUUGUCGAUAAUGAACUAUCAAAUUAUUUAAAGCUAUAUUUAUUCAGAUGCUAAAUAUUGGAAAGAGACAAUAAAAGUCAAAAUUGAUUCUAUUAUAAAAAAUAAUACAUGGAUUUUAACUAACUUACCUCCUGGUGCAAAAUCUAUUAGUUGUAAUUGGAUAUCCAAAAAGAAAUUUAAUCCUGAUGGAUCUUUAGAUAAAUAUAAAGCUCAGUUAGUAGCAAAGAAAAUUUCUCAAAAACAAAAUAUAGAUUAUUUUGAUACAAUUGCACCAGUGACUAGAAUUUCUUCUAUUCGAGUUUUAAUUGCCUUAGCUUCUAUCUGUAAUGUUUUUAUCAACCAAAUGGAUGUGAAAAUUGCUUUUCUAAAUAGUGAUUUAGAAGAAGAAAUUUAUAUGGUUCAACCUGAAGGCUGUGUCACUCCUGGAAAAGAAAAUAAAGUUUGUAAAUUAAUUAAAUCUCUUUAUGGCUUUAAACAAGCUCCUAAGCAGUGGUAUGAGAAAUUUGAACUAGUCUUACUGAGAGACGAUUUUUCUUCAGUUGAAGUGGAUAAAUGGACUUAUACUAAAGUGGUAGACAAUUAUUAUGUGAUAAUAUAUUUGUAUGUUGCUGACAUGCUUAUAUUUGGUACAAAUUUAAAUAUUGUGCAAAAUAUUAAAUUAUUUCUGUCUUCUAAUUGUGAUGUGAAAGAUCUCUGUGAUGUAAAUAUGAUAUUGGGAGUUAAUGUUAUAAGGGGUGAAGAUGGCAUAAUUUUGUCACACGAACACUAUGCUGAGAGACUUCCUAAGAAGUUUGAAUAUUUUAAUAUCAUAUAUGUGAGUUCUUCUUUUGAUUCUAACUCUAAGUUGAAAAAGAAUAAUGGUGACCCAGUUGCUCAGUCUAAAUAUGCUCAGAUUAUUGAGAGUUUGAUGCAUUUAAUUAAUUUUACAAGGCCUAGCCUAUGUUGUGUAUAGACUGAGUAGAUAUACUCAUGAUCCAAACAAAGAGCAUUGGUCUGCAUUAAAUAAAUUUGAAAUAUAUGAUAGGAACCAUAAAUUAUGGCAUCCUAUAUAGUGAUUUCCUUGUACUUUAGAAGGGUACGUGAGACAAACUGGAUCUCUGAUUCAGAUGAGACAAAAUUCAUUAGUGGUUACGUAUUCAUUCUUGGUGGUGGUGCAAUAUCGUUGAAAUCAGCUAAACAGACGAUUAUUGCUAGAUCGACCAUGGAAUUAGAGUUUCUAGUUCUGAGGCUGAGUGGCUAAGAAACUUCUUAGGUAAUAUCCCUUUAAUAAAGGAUGUAUUACCUCAGUGUCUACACACUAUGAUUGACAAGCGGCUAUAGCUAUAACAAAGAAUAAAUCUUAUAAUUAUAAAAAUAGACACAUGAAAUUAGGACAUGAUGUCAUAAAAUAGCUAUUGAGGAAUUGAAUAAUUUCCUUUGACUAUGUGAAUUGAGAAAUAAAUUUGGUCGAUCCUCUGACUAAACCCGUAGGAAGAAAAUUAAUUUUUCAAACCUUAAAAAAGAUGGGGUUAAGGCCGGAAUGUUGUCAAUAGAGAUGGUAACCUAACCUAUGUAAUUGGAGAUCCCAUGAAGUAGGUUCAUAUAGGUAAUACCAAGUGAAUAUUGGCACUAAUGCACUAAAAGGGAGUGCUUGACUGCUACUAAUUGAGAAGCUGAGUUAUAACUCUUGAAAAAAUUCAUAGUCCUUAUGGAUGGUGUAUUUAAAAGCAGUAUACACUUGAUGAAUUCACCUAUAAGGCUGAGUUAUAAUUCUUAAUGAAAUUUAUAGUCAUUAUGGAUGGUGUAUUUAAAAGUAGUAUACACUUGAUGAAUUCACCUAUAUAAGAGUGGAGUGAGCCGCUCCUAUGAGAUUUUGGCCUAGUCUCUAGAGUAUCAUGAAUGACCAGGCACGCGCAUGGCCUAUUGGGCGCAAAACUGCGUUGAACAACAAAAUUACCGGGGGACAAAAUGUGAUUGAUAAAAUCUCUUACUUACAAUAAGAAUUAUUGGUUCAUAGAAAUAUUAUAUUUCACCAGUAAUUCUGUGAGUUAAAUUUUAUUUGUCUAAGUUUGGUUCAUAGUCAAGAAGUCACUAAACCUAUUAUAUUUGGACCAUACAAAGACAGCAAGUUUAUUUUUUAAAAGUCUUUAAAAUAUGGGACUGUGUAAAUGUUUUAAAGCCUCUUUGGACAAGUGUUUAGGCAUUUUAGAAGGUUAAGAUAAGUGGCACAUUCCUUAGGAAAAGUGGCAAAAGAAGAAAGCCACGUAGCAAUCAUGCACAAUGAUAGAAACAUGCACCUAUGGCUAUAAGUAGCAUUCAUUAACCAGUCAUUCUUAUCAUAAGAUAUUUUUCUUUUAUCUCUCUCUUCUUUCCUCCAAUUCCUUUUCUAUCAUAUUUAAUUAACAUUGCACAUUAGUUGUUCUUCAUUUUUUUGUUACUAGCUGAAUUUGUAUAAUAUUUAAUUUUGUUCCUUCCUAUAUCCUUUAAAUGAAAUAGAGGUAAGUUUGUUUAAUCCUGGAUAAAUAUUUCGCUCUGCUGAAAUAAUUUCUUAAAACAGUGCCCAGCACGACUCAAGCCAAUUAAUGUAUUUCCGCUUAUAAAUAAUAUUAUUGUAAUAUUAUUAUUAUGGUUAGUUUUCGGUGUCACUACUACUAAGAUAUUUUAUUUUGCUUUUCACUCGGGCAUUACUUUGUUUUUCUUAUCACAUGACUGUUCAUCUCCAAGUGCAACCAACUUGACGUAGAUGAGUUCUUUUUUUCUUUUUUCUUUUCUCUUUUCAUAUAUCAGUUCUGCCCUACAUAAGCUAUGCCACAUAAAUUAAUUUGCCAAUCGUUCAGCGGAAUUUUGAAGUUUUCAGAUUUUUAGUGAUAAGUGAGCUCCAUCGUAUUAUAUGAGUAUAUUGACACUUGACUGUACUGAGGGCAGCAAAGAUUUCCCUUGUUCAAUCGUACGUCCUAUUUAACACUGAAAGUACAAAUAUUGCUUAUUAUUGCAUGCAUGCAACAUAUAGCGUACAGAAAUUUGCUGGCCAAUUUAGUUAAGACUUAAAAUGCAAGCAUCAUAUCUUAAUUUUCUAUUAAAGGAAACGAUAAUACACUUAAGGUGCAGCAUUUCUUUGCUGCAAUUCUUUUGCCUUCACGAUAUAUCUUCUUCCCACCACAAUUUGAUUACCUUAUUUAUUAGUAGUGUAGGCAAGAAUAGGGAAAUCUUUAGAUUUCAAAUGGUGAUUAGAAUAAGCAAUCAAGGGGCGUAGCCACCACCGUGUCCACCACCUUCACCACCUCCAGUACCUCCUCCAUAUCCACCAGCAUGCUCACCUCCUCCAGCGGAGGCUCCACCUCCGCCGGCACCACUACCGCCGCCACCGCCUCCAUAUGCUCCUCCAUGUGCUCCUCCAGCACCACCACCGGCUCCUCCUCCACUGCCGUAUCCACCACCUGCUGCUCCCCCUGCUCCUCCUGCAUAAGCACCACCGCCACCACCUCCAUGUCCACCUCCACCACCAUAUCCACCGCCUGGUGCCCCUCCAGCACCAUAGCCGCCACCACUACCUCCUCCUCCUCCUUCAGCGUAUCCACCACCAUGUGCUCCACCCGUAGCUGCUCCGCCGCCACCACUACCUCCGCCACCUCCACCACCAUAACCACCACCUGGGGCUCCUCCAGCACCAUAUCCGCUACCACCACCUUCACCACCACCACUUGCAUGUCCAGCAUCGUGCCCUCCACCAGCAUAGCCACCUCCUGCGCCGCUUCCACCACCACCUCCUCCAGCAUAUCCAGCACCAUGCUCUCCUCCAGCUGCAUAGCCAGAACCACCACCGGCUCCGCCUCCACUACCACCUCCACUGGCAUAACCAUGGUCAACUGCAGCUCUAUAUCCACCACCUCCACCGGAACCUCCUCCACCACCACCAGCAUAGCCUCCACCAGCAACACCACCACCAGCGCCACCGCCAAUGCCAUGGCCUGCACCAUAGGCACCUACCUCACCCCCAACACCUACAUGAUCAUAAGUGAGGAGGGUUCUAGCAGCUGAACAUAUUCCUAUGCCCAGUAACAAAAAUCAAACAAUGUUAGUAACUUUAAGCUUCGCCAUUGUAAUGUAGUUGAAUGCCACAAAAUCGACUUGGAAUAGAAUGCAAGAAUCGGAGGCUAUUUAUAGAUGUAGAAAAGCGUCUAUAUGCACAAAUCACAUGCAAAUGAACAAAAGGCAACUCCUUUUGUCCCUACAAUUUAAGUGAUCCACUGCACUAACAUCCUCACAGAUUUGACAUCAUUUCUUUUUAAUUCAAUCUCUACUCCAAGUAGACUAGCUAGUGUGCUUGUGCUGUCUCCCAUAUUCGUUAAGUAUACAGUAUAAAAAUAUUUCUUAAUACCAUACUUUUCUUAAUUCUUUAUUUUUGAUAUAUCUUGUAGUUGGAAGUCCGAGUCAGUUACAGUAAAUUCCUCCCAAACUAAUUAUAUAUUUAGUUCCACUUAAUCGAUACGGUUCUUUAUGUUUAAUAUUUUGUGUCACAUUCUCUAAUAUUGAAUUGGAAAAAUGUGAUGCGAUAUUGAUAGGCAGAUUAAGAUUAGAGUUCUUAUUCAACCGGGGCUUGCUAAUUUUUGAGAUUUUAUGAAAUUAACUUAUAUGCAGUUGCGGUAAAAGUAUAUUUAUUUACACAAAAACAAUUGAUGCAUGAUACAUUAUUUGUUAAUUCAUUCGAUACUCGAAGCCGACUGGUCCGGCUAAUUCAGAUUUGCGACAACAAAUUUACUAUGGGGUGCUCAAACUCGAAAUCUUUGGUUAUGCAAUAACAAUAUCUCCAAUAUUCACCAAAUAAUGGACGAACUUUUAGAAAAUGAUUUGGAACAUCCUGAGCACAUAUUGGAAGAAGUUGAUAUAAAUGAAGUAAGAAUUAUAGAAAACAAGGAAGAAGAACUCUAACGAGGAACAAUACAUCGAUGAGCUUUAAAAAGUUGGUUUCUUUAAUAACUCUCGUUUAUAUAUUAUUUCUUUAUAUGUUUCAAUCUAAAUAUGUAUUAUAUUAUGCAGAUGACGGGCAAGGGUCGAGGUAACAAUGACCCUAGUGGUUCUCUGGGUCGAGAAAAGGUUAGAAAACUAAAGAGAAGGGUAGAAGAUAAUACUCAUUCUUUUUCACCCUCUUCUGAUGUUCUUAUGCCUAUGCUUUUGCCUCCACCCCAAGGCUAUUUUGAGCUGCCACACAUCACCCGCCCUACACCUUCGUGCAGACCCCAGGUCUUUCGUCACAGGGCCAUAGAACUAUACAUCUGACAUACAGUCCACAUGCCUCACUACCACGUGGAUCACACCCAUCAGCAUCACAUGGAUCGCAUCGAUCCACGUUCCAUCCACAUGGAUCACAGCCAUCAGUGUCCCAGUCACUCGGGUCACAACAAUCAGUAUCACAGCCACUUACUUUCCAUCCAACUACCUCGCAGUUACAGGGAUCACAUCUAUCUUCAUCAGGGACUCCAUCUAUUUCAGGCCUUCGCUUGCGGGAUACUAGAUUUGACCCCUACACCUUCCACACAUGCUUCUGAUAUACAUAAUUCGGAUGGUGAUGCUGAUGCUGAUGCUGACAAGGAGGUGCAUUAUGAUCAAUAUGGCAAGAUCAUCAUAGUCCCUGCGAGUGAUGGGUAAGAGUUAAUUGUUAUUUUUAUGUUUAUUAUUUUAUAAAGAUUUUACUAAGAUAUUAAUUCUUUUUUAUUAAAUUGCAGGUUCAUCCCGAGUAAUAAUACUACGAAGAUAAUCACCAAAGCAACAACGGUUGCUUUAUGAUGGCCCUUAUGCGUCUUGGCAUGAAUUCUCACUCUGGCUGAAGGAGCAAAUUUUCGAUAUAUUUAAGGUGUAAAUAUUCUUUUAAGCGGUAUAAUUAUUUAUGUUUAUGAUACUAUUAAUAUUUAUAUUUUGAAAUACAGAGCAAGUGCGUAUGGGAAAACCGUUGUAGCACGGACGUGGAUGCAACUUUUUAUCUCAAAGCUCGCAAGCGGUUGUCACUUACUUUCUCCAAAGCUAGAAAGUUGAACUGGAAGCCUGACUGGUUGCUUCAGAAUAUAUGGGAGGAUUCGCAAAGGCAAUGGCUUAUUGCAGAGUUCUUAGAGAAGAGCGGAAAAGGAAAGAAAGCAUCUGCGAAGGAAGGAUCCUUGCACACUGGAGAUGCGAUUAGCCUAGGGACAAUAAAAAGAAGAAUGGUACGAAAUUGCUUAAUUUAUUUUAAUUUUCAAAGUAUAUCUAUUCUAAUUAUUAACUAAAAUUUAUGAGUUUUCGGGAAAAGAAGUUGGGGCAUUCAAUGAACCAAGAUGAGCUAUUCAAGGAGACUCAUAUUGUGAAGAACAAGAAGAAGAAGAAGAAGAAAAUGAAGAAGAAGAAAGACACAGAUAAAGAAAGGUGGGUCGAGGGAUGCGCCUCGAUUAUACAUGUAAGUUUUCACUUUCCAUUAAGUAUUUUCAUUUACUUUUAUAUACAUUUUGAAAUACUAAUUCAAUUACUUUUUCUUAUAUGGUCGCUUCACAACUGAAGUUGAGGAAUUCAUACGCAGUCAGCCACCUAAUGAGUCAGGCGAGCAAAUCUAACCUUCGGACGGGGAUGCUGAAAGAAUAUGGACGGAAGCGGCAGGCGGUCCAAAAUGGGGAAAGGUAUACGGGCUUCCUACUAAAAAAUUUCAUCUCUAUAAGUGUGGAAUGCAAGGAAUAGGGACUUCCUCGCAAGCUGAGUAACUUGAUGGGGAGAGCCUCCCCGCUAUGCGGGAGACUGUGAUAAAGCUCACAUCCGAGCUAGAAUUGGCCAAGGAAAGAGAAAAGUUUAGAGAUGCUCAGUACAUAGGCAUGCAAGCUCAGUACCAGGGCAUGCAAGAGCAGCUCAAAGCUCUCCUACCUUCUAGAGCUUUUUCGAUUUCCCGAUCUCGUGAGUCAUCGCUAGAGGCUCGCCUUCCCCGUGCUCGCUCCUGCCGUCCUCUAAGUUCUCAUUCCUCUCGUCCUCCCAGUGAUUUCUCUUCCCUUUCUCAACAAAUAGACCCUUCUGAAUACCGUCAUGUUGAUGAAAGUUCAUCAUACGGUGAUAAUAAUGAUGUACACAACACAUAUUGGCUUUUAGAAAAUUUGAACAAGGUAAAUACAAUCGAUUUUCGAAUGUGCUUUUAAUAAGAGUCAACUUAGUUUUGUUAGCUUAAUGUGGUAGUUCUAUUUAACUUUAUACUUUGUUGGCUUUAAUGUUGGUUUUAAAGUUGUUUUUGUGUUAUUGUUUGUUGUUGGUAUUGUGUUGGAAUUGUUGUUGUUGUUGCUUGUAAUGGAGUUUUGGUAUGACUGGCAGGUGGUAUAGCUGCCAAAACAGGCAGUUUUUGCCAAAUCAAUAUAAAGAAAAACGACAAACUUUGGUCUCUAUUUGGUCGCUUUUUAUUUAAAAAAAUAAUCUGGGACAUAGAGACCAAUGUUGGUCGCUUAUUACUCAGAUUUCUAAAAAAGCAACCAACUUUGGUCGAUUAUCUUUUAAUAAAAUAAAUAAAAUUAAUAAAAAAGUGAUCAACCUUGAUCUCUAUUUUCCAAAUUUUAAAAUAUAAUGUUUGGAUUAAAGACCAAAGUUGGUCGCUUAUUAACGAUUAAUAAUAAAUAAAAAUAUAUUUUACAUUUAGAGGCUAACGUUGGUCGCCACAAUUAUGUUAUUAAAUUUAUAAAGCGACCGAAGUUGGUUGCUAUAGUCUUUACCUAGAAUAUUUGGUCCAUUUACCUUAGAGACCAAAGUUGAUCGCUAAUUAGCGAGCACUUUGGUCUCUAAACUAAAGGGACCAGCUUAAUAUUGACCAGGCUUGUUUGGUCGUUUUUUGGCCAAAAAGCGACCAACUUUGAUUGCUUUUUGUGGUUGAUUUUUAAUUUUGUUAAUUCCUGUAUCCUCUAAAUAAAAUAGAUGUAAGCUUGUAUAAUCCUAGAAAAAUAUUUCACUUUGCUGAAAUAGUUUCUUAGAUUAGUGCCCAGCACGACUCAAGCCAGUUAAUGUAUUUCCGCUCACAAAUAAUAUUAUUGUAAUAUUAUUAUUAUCGUUAUUUUUCGGUGUCAUUUAGCUACAAUCUAAGAAACUAUGGCAAAUAAUACUGAUGCUAAAAGUACUACUGAUACCGUCAAUAUUGGUGUUACGUCCGUUGCUCCAGCCCUAGUUGCACUGUCAUAUGCCAGGCUAUUUUCAGAUGUGUCAAAUAUUGAAAUUUUGGCCAAUGAGAAUUUAAAGCGUUGGCAAGAACAUAUUUUCUCACUGCUUGAUGUCCAUGGUAUUGCGCAUGCACUGCUGCAUCCACAACCUAGUGCAGACGCUGAUAAUAAAAUAAUAGAAUCAUGGAAAUAUGCAAACAAGGUGUACCGUCAUACAAUAUUGCAAACUAUUUUUAAUGAACUGAUUGACGCGUAUUGCAGUUAUAAAGAAGCAAAAGCUAUAUGGGAAGCUUUAAGUAAAAAAUUCACAGCUCAAGAUGCUACAAAAUAAAAAUUUGUAGUAUGAAAAUUUUAUUAGUGGCAGAUGAGAGAUGAUAAAGAGAUGGACAUACAAAUCAACGAAUUUCAAAAAUUAUUAGAAGAUUUGAAGGUCAAGGGGAUGUCUUUACAAGAAAAGUUUGCUACUGGAGUGCUAAUUGAGAAGCUACCUAACUCAUGGAGUGACUACAAAAAACAACUUAAAGCACAAACAGAAAAAUUUCACCAUUGCGGAAAUUAUGACCCACAUCCUAAUUGAAGAUUCCAACAGAAAAGAAUCUGUCUAAGCUAGGAUGACAGCUCUCAAAGCAAAUUUAGUACAAAGCAGCAACAACUAUUGCAAAAGGUACGAGAAUAUGUCUCAAGGUUUCAAGCCUAAAAUCCCUAAACUUAAAAGGGAAAAGGGCUCUUGUUUUGUUUGUGGAAAAUCAAGCCAUCAUGCUUCGCAGUGCAAGUACAAAGAAAGAAAUGACAAGGAAAAAACUAAUACUCCUAAAGCUAUCUUAGUUGAAGGAGGUGAUAUUAUUGCAGCUGUCAUUUCUCAAUUAAACAUGGUAGCACAUACAAAAUAAUGGGUGAUAGACUCUGGGGCUACUCGUAACAUUUGUACAUAUCGAGAAGCAUUUUCCUACUCCUGUAGAGGAUGGAGAAGAAGUCUAUCUUUGAGACUCAAGUACUACCAAAGUCUUGGGUUAGGGUAAAGUUCUCCUGAAACUCACUUCGGGAAAAACUUUAGCCCUUGUUGGUGUACUGCAUGUUCCUACUAUGAGGGAAAACUUGAUCUCUGUAUCUUGUUUGGAGGAGCCGGAGUGAAAGUGUGUUUUCCCAAGUUCAGUUAAAGUUUUGAAGAAUGACAAAUAAACUCAAUGAUAGACCAAGUCCAUCUUCUGAGACACAGUGGUUAUCAACCUAUGCAAAUGAGAUGCACGUGAAGAACAUAAGUCUUAGGGAUCAAGAAACAAUAUCUUCUGAAUAUCUUCUGAACUGAUAAAAAAGAUUGCAUAUAGGAUAAGGAGAAGAAGUCUCCUUAUGAGAAGAGAACACAAUCCGGAUCAAGGAUAAGGGUUGGAGUUUGUAUUGGUCUAGGACUCAAAUUCGAUAGAGGAUCAACAAUCGAGUCUCAAUUAAACUCUUAUUACUAACUUAAUAAAUAAGUAAGUUUUUUCUCUUUUACAGGCGUGCACAUUUCCUGUAAAAGGAACUCAGGAUGAACCAGGUCCAUCACUCAGGUGCACAAAAACGGGCAGGUUUGAGCAUGUAGGUUGCAUGUGAAGGAAAUAAGCUUAACUUGGUGUAUUUAAUAUCUCCUGAUUGAAAAUGUUGCAUAAUUGAUAAGGAGAAGGAAUCCUUAAUCAAAGAUAACACUUUCCAAGAUAGGGAAGGAGUUAGAAGUUGAAAUCAACUAGAACUCUUCCACCAAGGAAGAGUUGCAUAAGAACUCUAGUUAUUUGUUCAUCUACUAUCUCUAUAAAUUGCAGGAUGUUCUCACAUUACAAGUGUUGCACAAUAACGCAGAAGUUAAACGUGAAUUAAGAGCAAAAUAACAAAGCCUUUUGCAAGCAGUUUGAAUGUUCUCACAUUAAGAGUGUUGCGCAAAAACGUAGAAGUUAAACGUGAAUUGAGAGCAAACUAGCAAGGCUUUUUGGAAGCAGUACGGGUUUGAUUCAAGUGUGCAAACCUAAAGCUACAUGAACCAGAUUGAAGAACCAGCUUCGUAAGCGUCUUUCUUUAUUUCUAGUUCAAUUGUAAUAGGUAUUUUUAUUUGUACCUUUCAACUUUUGUAGAGCAAUUGUAAUAGGUACUUUGAGUAUUCAAGUUAGAGUUAACUUGAAGUUGUCGCAAUAGUUAGAGGCUGGUUGCUACAACGGGAUUAGAGUGAAUCCUUAGGUUUACAAAGAGGUUUUGUAAAUGUUGUUUUGGCUCAUUGAUUUUAGUGGAAGUUUUGAAAAAUUCUACUGAGUAGUAGGUCGUGGUUUUUUCACCUUUUGAGCCUGGUGUUUCCACAUAAAAUCUUUAUGUUCUUUAUUUUUUGUAUUUAUUAUGCCACACCAGCAGUAGUUGGAACACAUAGAAGAACCAGGUCCUUCAUAAGCAGUUUAAGCAAAAAAUUAGGUAACACACAAAUCAACACCCCUCUUUUGUGGUAUUGACGUAUAAAAUAUCAAAGUGUCAUUUGAAUCUGAUAAGAUCAUAAUGACCAAAAAUAAUGUGUUUGAGGAAAAGAGCUAUUGUAACCAAGGACUCUUUGUACUCAAUAUUUUUGAUGUUAUCAAUGGAGUGUAUCUGCUUCUGCUUAUAUGAUUGAGUCUAUUUCUCUUUGGCAUGCUAGAAUAUGACAUGUUAAUGUCACAUAUAUAAAGAAAAUACAUUCGCUAGGAUUAAAAUCUGAGUCUAAUUAAAAUCUGGUUUAGACUCAAAUAAUAUUAAUAAGUGUGAAAUAUGUGAUGAAGCUAAAAGUACUUGAAAGAGUUGUUUUUCUGUAAAUACAGAAACUGAAUUAUUAUCUUUAAUUCAUGUUGAUUUAGGCGAUUUAAAGCAGACAAUGACUAUAGGUGGUAAAAGUUAUUAUGGGACUUUUAUUGAUAAUUUUUCUAGAUAUACUAAGUUUUAUUUGCUUAGAAAUAUAGAUGAUGCUUUUAAUGCUUUUAUUUCAUAUAAAACUGAGGUUCAAAAUCAACUUAGUACAAAAAUCAAGAGAAUCAGAUCUGAUAGAGGUGGAGAAUAUUUUUCUUUGAAUGAUUUCUGUGAAAAAGAAGGAAUAAUUCAUGAAGUAACUCCACCUUAUUCACCCGAGUCAAAUGGAGUAGCUGAAGAAAAAAUGGAACAUUGAAAGAGAUGAUGAACUCUAUGUUAGUUAGUUCUAAUGCUCCUGAUAAUUUUUGGGGUGAAGCUAUUUUAUCUGCAUGACACUUACAAAAUAGAAUACCUCAUAAAAGAACUGGCAAAUCUCCAUAUGAAUUGUGGAGGGGUUAUAAACCUAACUUGAAAUAUUUAAAAGUGUGGGGGUGCCUUGCUAAAGUUCUUUUUCCUGAACCUAAAAAGAGAAAAAUAGGUUCUAAAAUUGCUGAUUGCAUGCUAAUUGGAUAUGUAGAACAUAGUGCUGCAUAUAGAUUUUUGUUUUAAAAAGUGAUGUGCUUGAUUGCAAUACUAUAAUUUUGAUAAGGAAUGUUGAGUUCUUUGAAUAUAUUUAUCCAUUAUCUAAUAAAAUUUUUCAUACACCUAUUGAAACAAAUAAUGAAAUGACCUCUAAUGAGAACUUGAGAAGGAGCAAAGGGCCUAGGAAAGAAUAUUAUUUCUUAUGGAAAAGAUUUUCAAAAUUUUCUUGUCGAUAAUGAACCAUCAAAUUAUUUUAAAGCUAUAUCGUCUUCAGAUGCUAAAUAUUGGAAAGAAGCAAUAAAAGUUGAAAUUGAUUCUAUUAUGAAAAAUAAUAUAUGAAUUGUAACUAACUUACCUCCUGAUGCAAAACCUAUUAGUUGUAAAUGAAUAUUCAAAAGAAAUUUUAUCCUGAUGGAUUGUUAGAUAAAUAUAAAGCUCCAUUAGUAGCAAAAGAAUUUUUUCAAAAACAAAGUAUAUAUUAUUUUGAUACAUUUGCAACAGUGGCUAGAAUUUCUUCUAUUCGAGUUUUAAUUGCCCUAGAUUCAAUAUGUAAGCUUUUUAUCCACCAAAUGGAUGUGAAAAGUACUUUUCUAAAUGGUGAUUUAGAAGAUGAAAUUUAUAUGGUUCAACUGAAGGCUGUGUCAUUCCUAGACAAGAAUAUAAAGUUUGUAAAUUAAUUAAAUAUUUUUAUGGCCUUAAACAAGCUCCUAAGUAGUGGUAUGAGAAUUUGAACUAAUCUUACUGAGAGACAAUUUUUCUUCAAUUGAGGUGAAUAAAUGUGUUUAUACUAAAGUGGUAGACAAUGAUUAUGUGAUAAUAUGUUUGUGUGUUAAUCAUUGUGCAAAGUACUAAAUUAUUUCUGUCUGCUAAUUUUGAUAUGAAAGAUCUAGGUGAAGUAAAUAUGAUAUUUGGAACUAAAAUUAUAAGGAUUGAAGGUGACAUAUUAUUAUUACAAAAACAUUAUUUUAAGAAACUUCUUAAGAAGUUUAAAUAUUUUAAUAUUACAUUGUCAGUACUCCUUUUGAUUCUAACUCUAUGUUAAAAAAGAAUAAUGUUAACAACUUUAAGCUUCGCCAUUGCAAGGUAGUUGAAUGCCACAAAAUCGACUUGGGAUAGAAUGCAAGAAUCGGAGGCUAUUU
rnacentral:lncRNA from 1 species